rnacentral:rRNA from 1 species
AAACCCCUUAUCGAGGAUCAAUUGGAGGGCAAGUCUGGCGCCAGCAGCCGCGGUAAUUCCAGCUCCAAUAGCGUAUAUUAAAGUUGUUGCAGUUAAAAAGCUCGUAGUUGGAUUUGUGGCGUACGAUGUGUUCCCGGCACUUGUUGUCGGUGUUUUAUGUCGUUGCCAUCCUUGGGUGGAAUCUGUGUGGCAUUAGGUUGUCGUGCAGGGGAUGCCCAUCUUUUACUGUGAAAAAAUUAGAGUGUUCAAAGCAGGCUUACGCCGUUGAAUAUAUUAGCAUGGAAUAAUGAGAUAGGACCUUGGUACUAUUUUGUUGGUUUGCGCACCGAGGUAAUGAUUAACAGGGACAGUUGGGGGUAUUCGUAUUCCAUUGUCAGAGGUGAAAUUCUUGGAUCUUUGGAAGACGAACUACUGCGAAAGCAUUUACCAAGGGUGUUUUCAUUAAUCAAGAACGAAAGUUAGGGGAUCGAAGAUGAUUAGAUACCAUCGUAGUCUUAACCAUAAACUAUGCCGACAAGGGAUUGGUGGAGUUUCGUUACGUCUCCAUCAGCACCUUAUGAGAAAUCACAAGUCUUUGGGUUCCGGGGGGAGUAUGGUCGCAAGGCUGAAACUUAAAGAAAUUGACGGAAGGGCACCACCAGGAGUGGAGCCUGCGGCUUAAUUUGACCCAACACGGGAAAACUUACCAGGUCCAGACAUAGUGAGGAUUGACAGAUUGAGAGCUCUUUCUUGAUUCUAUGGGAGGUGGUGCAUGGCCGUUCUUAGUUGGUGGAGUGAUUUGUCUGGUUAAUUCCGUUAACGAACGAGACCCCUGCCUGCUAAAUAGCCCGGUGAGUGAAUUUUCACUGACCGCUGGCUUCUUAGAGGGACGUGCAUUCUAUUAGAUGCAGGAAGAUAGGGGCAAUAACAGGUCUGUGAUGCCCUUAGAUGUCCUGGGCCGCACGCGCGCUACACUGAUGCAUUCAACGAGUUUUACCUUGGCCGAGAGGCCUGGGUAAUCUUUUGAACGUGCAUCGUGAUAGGGAUAGAUUAUUGCAAUUAUUAAUCUUGAACGAGGAAUUCCUAGUAAACGCAGAUCAUCAAUCUGCAUUGAUUACGUCCCUGCCCUUUGUACACACCGCCCGUCGCACCUACCGAUUGAAUGGUCCGGUGAAGCCUCGGGAUUGUGGCCAGUUCGCUUUAUUGGGAGUUGGUCGCGAGAACUUGUCUAAACCUUAUCAUUUAGAGGAAGGUGAAGUC